CUUUUUAUGACUUUUUUAAGCUUCUACAAUGAACUGUCCCCUACCCAGUUUAUUGUAUAAGCUUAACUAAAAAUAUUUUUUAAAGCUUACAAAUUAUGUCAUAAUUAAUAGGCUUCUAAAAAAUGUGAUUUGGCUUCUAUAAUAAGAUGGGUAACGGGUAGGUUAUUCCAGAUUAUUUUAGAAGCCAGGAAAAAAAAACGGCCCUUACUCCAAGCCGCCGCCGCCCAACCACCCCACCUUACGCCGCGCCACCCAUCGCCUGUGGCCCACGCCGUUCUCCCGUCCACCUUCUCCCUGUGCCUCCCCUUCUCGCAGCACCGCCGGCUGCCAGGAUUUCCAGCCCACCGCAGCCCCAACUUGCCCCGCUGGCCCGCGCGCCACCAUGGCGAGAUGCCCCCAGAUCUGUACCGGCAGAGUCCCUCUUGCCUUCUUCUGCGCCGCCGACCGGCGUGACCACUCGAUCUCCAAGCUCCCACCUCCACCUACCUACUUCCCCGACCCACCCUCAUGGUAGAACCUCCUUCAUCCACGUCGUCGGGAACGAACUCCGCCACCUCCAGGCGCCCCACGUGGCUGCCGGCGUGGAUCUGCCCCGCCGCCCCUUGGCGCCACACGCGGAUGGCGGCCCACCUUGCGCUUCUGCCGGCGCGGGUCUACCCCCACCUCGUUUAGACCCCCACCACACGCGGAUGACUUCCGUCUUGUCGUAUCCCGCAACAACCAGAGACUCUCACAUGCUCCUAUCUUCCUCCUGCGCCAUCCGUGGUACUCGGACACCGCACCAUCCCGUGCAGCUCGGUUGGCGCUCCUGUGCAGCUCCGUUGCCGCUCGUAUGCAGUUUUUUCUUUCAUGUAGUUUUAUUUUGGUUAUCUUUUGCUAUUACUCCCUCCCUCUGUUUCUAAAUAUAUCUCUUUUAGAAGAUUCCAUUAAAAGACCACAUACGAAGUAAAAUAAAUAAAUUUAUAUUUUAAAAUAUGUUUACAUACAUCUGUAUGUAGUCUUUUAAUAGAACUUUUAAAAGACUUAUAUUUAGAAACGGAGGGAGUAGUUUGCAGAAUGAAAAGAACUUCCACGGUGAGCAGUACAUCACCCCAUGUGUGUACUUCUGUUUUUAAUUUCUGAGUGAACUACUCUCUGCAUUGGAGGUUCCCAUGACCAUAUUGCUUUUUUUUUGUGUGUGUGAUGGUUUUCCUGUACAAGGAAGAGACCUACUGAAUAAUACUAUUUGCGAAACAUAGUGCAAGGCAUGCAAGUUCAGUUUCCAUAACGCGGUUGAUGGCAUGUAGUUCUACAGCUCGUAUGUAGUCACCUCAUGUGUGCUGUUUGAGGGCACGUGGAAUUUGUUUUCGAGGGAUAAAUUUGUGUUGUUUUUCAGGCAAAUGCAUGUGAUUUUGAUUUAAAAGCAGUCCACCCAGCACUGUGUUGCGGUUAAUUUUUCUUCACCAUGUGGUCCGCCUUUUCUUCCAUGUAGACAUCCCUCUCCGAGCAGCUCAUUAUCUUUGCGCAUGCAAUAACAAAUAAAAAAUGUGAAAUUAUGCAGUCCACCCGCUGUGUGUGUGGUCCACUCGCCCGGUCUACGCGUGUAAAAAAUUGAAGUCUGAAAAAACAUAAUAAAAAGUCAUGCAGAUCUUUUCAUGUACUAUCG
rnacentral:lncRNA from 1 species